AGAGUUUGAUCCUGGCUCAGAUUGAACGCUGGCGGCAUGCCUUACACAUGCAAGUCGAACGGUAACAGGUCUUUCGGGAUGCUGACGAGUGGCGAACGGGUGAGUAAUACAUCGGAACGUGCCUAGUAGUGGGGGAUAACUACUCGAAAGAGUGGCUAAUACCGCAUGAGAUCUAUGGAUGAAAGCAGGGGACCUUCGUGGCCUCUGUGGCUACUAGACGCGGCGCGAUCGUGCAUGCAUUCACGUGCUACGAUGUAGCGCUGGGUAUCAGAGAAUGCGUUCAGCCAWGGCUGACGCACUCUG
rnacentral:rRNA from 1 species